rnacentral:rRNA from 1 species
UACGAAGGGGGCUAGCGUUGUUCGGAUUUACUGGGCGUAAAGCGCACGUAGGCGGAUUGUUAAGUGAGGGGUGAAAUCCUGGAGCUCAACUCCAGAACUGCCUUUCAUACUGGCAAUCUAGAGUCCGGAAGAGGUAAGUGGAACUCCUAGUGUAGAGGUGGAAUUCGUAGAUAUUAGGAAGAACACCAGUGGCGAAGGCGGCUUACUGGUCCGGUACUGACGCUGAGGUGCGAAAGCGUGGGGAGCAACAGG